AUACGUAGGGGGCAAGCGUUAUCCGGAUUUACUGGGUGUAAAGGGAGCGUAGACGGUUGUGCAAGUCUGAUGUGAAAACCCGGGGCUCAACCCCGGGACUGCAUUGGAAACUGUGCGGCUAGAGUGUCGGAGAGGUAAGUGGAAUUCCUAGUGUAGCGGUGAAAUGCGUAGAUAUUAGGAGGAACACCAGUGGCGAAGGCGGCUUACUGGACGAUGACUGACGUUGAGGCUCGAAAGCGUGGGGAGC
rnacentral:rRNA from 1 species